GGGUAGAUGAAAUAAAUAAUACUUAAGAUAAAAUGAAUAAAGUAAAUAACAUAUAGUCAGGGAACAUUAAAAAAAAAAUGGAAUAAAAGAAGAUGAUAUGGAAUAAACUAAAGCAAAAUAAGUAAAAUGGAUAAGGUUGAGAUGAAGUAGAGGAGAUAAAUUAAAAUAGCGUUAGAUGAAUGAAUUGGUUAAGAAGGUGAGAGGGUUUGACGAAAUAGCGUGAAAGGGAGGGGGGAGCGAAAUGUGACGAAAAUAAUGAUAAGAGAAAUGAAAACGAAAAGAUGGAAGGGGCUUUUGCUUGUGGGUUUUUUUAGAGAGAGAGGGAAAGCGAUGAGGUUACAGGGAAGAGAAAUGGUGGCGCACGAGGUCACGGCGAGAGCAGCAGGUGGUUGAGGGGCCAGCAUGCGACUGAGAAGAGCAGCUGAGGGGGCAACAGAGGUGGAGGAGGUUGCAAGAGAGAGCAACAGGUGAAAGUCGUGGCUGGUGCGGGAUUAGAGAGAGGUGGAGGUACCUGCUGCUGAUGGUUGCGGAAAGAAGAAGAUGAUAUGGUGUGCAGGUGAUGGUUGAGAACGGGAGAAGUGAUGACAGCGACUGGUUGUGGGGAAUUAGGAAGAGAAGAGGUGGAGGUUGCAGGUGUGGAGCAGUGAGGUGUAGAUGGGCGCAGCAACUGGGGCUAAGCGUGGCGGAGAUGUCUGCCACCUGAGGUAGGGGACAAUAGAGUGGAGUGACUGGGAACAGGGGCGGUGAAAGGUGUGCCAAAGAGAGGCAAAGACGUGAGAGAUGGGAGCGGCAUAUGAAUGGACGGUGGUGAGGAGAUUGGUCACGAGCACAGGAAGAAGAAAGAGAGAUGGGCGAGAAUGGGGGGAAAGGAGCAGCAGCCAGCUACCAUCUGGCGCCAGAGAGGCAGAGAAGAGGGGAAGCCUGGUUGCAGGCAAUGGAAUUGCUUGGCAGCGAAGGUCGCGGCCGUGAGAAGGUGGCCGCCCGCGAUGGACGUCGGUCGCGCACGACGAUGUGGAAGAUGGGAUGCGCCCGGCGUAGAGGAAAGGCGAUAGGGGAAAGAUGGCUUCGCGUGGCGACAGGGGUUUUAGUAAGGAAAUGGGCAAAGGUGGUCUCCUGGGACUACAGGAUAUGAGAGGGAGGAAGUCACCCCGAGGGUGCACCAAAGAAAGGGUGCUAUGAACCGAGGGUGCACCAAAGAAAGGGUGCUAUGAAGGAGUACGAAAAAGAAGAGAGGGAUGAACAUGAGGGACCAUCACAGGAAGAAAGAGGAGGUGGACCCGAGGGUCCACAUGGAGGAAGGGGUCAUGCACGCAUCACAAUAGAAAGGAGAAGAAAUUAGGUGGACCUGAGGGACCACCAGGAGAUAGUGGGGAAAGGUGGUCAUGAGGGACCAUAGACAGCGAAGGAGAGAAUAGGAAAGGAAGAAAGAGUGAUACAUACGGCGAUAGGCUUCCGCUAUAUGUAGGAGAGGAGAGAGAAAAAAAGAAAAAUAGAGGAAGAGAAGAAGAGAAGAAGAGAGAAAAAGAGAAAAAGAGAGGAAGAGAAGAAGAGAGAAAGAGAGAGUAAAGAGAAAGAGAGAAAGGGAAGAGAGAGAAGAGAUAAGCUCUGCGGUAUCAACCCAAAAGUUUCACUCCUUUUUCUCUCUCCUAAGACGUGACCCAACAAUAGGCAAGAUAAAUUUGUUAUUAAGUGAAGGGUGUACGUACAAUGGUAUUACGUAGUAUAUAUACAAUUGUG
rnacentral:lncRNA from 1 species